rnacentral:lncRNA from 1 species
CGAGAAGAAAUCGUAUACAGUGACGUUUACCGUGGACUCCUCUAAGGCGUCUGGAUCUAACAGCUUCGGGAGCAUUGAAUGGUCAGAUGGGAAACACGUGGUGGCCAGUCCCGUGGCGAUUACCUGGACAUAGUGGUUAAUGGGCUUUUAAUGGAAGAAGAAAGUCACAGAUGUUGUGUGCCGUUUGUUAUAAGAGCUUUGUUUAGUAAACAACGGCACGCAGUCUUGGCUUAUCUAGUUUGCUUUUGGAACUCUUGUCGUUGUGUUUUCUCUUUUGCUAUUUGAAGAAAGAAAUCUUCUCCGGUCACAAGGAUAGCUGGGUUGGGUCUUUUAUUAGCUGUUUUAUCAUGUGACUUGAAUAUUUAAAUGAAAAGUAAAAUGGUUGGACUUUUUAGCUGUUAAUGUGUCUAGUCUGAUUUUCUUGGCCGUGACAUCUUGUAGAAACCUAAAAUUACUAUAUAUGUUUCCGAGAUGAUGGCAAUCAUCCUAGGCUGGUAUGGUUAUAGAGUUCAUAAUUGUAUAGAAGAAAAACAAAAUCAUGAUUAGAUUUUUGUUGAUUCAUGGCCUUUAAGGACGGUAUAGCUUAAUGGGUUUUAGUAUGCUGGGCCCAUUAGGAGGUGGCAUGUUUAAACUUCUAUGGAUCUUUUGGUUUAUGUAUUCUGCUUCUCCAGGAAAAUUAAAUUCUACAACACAUGAUUACGAAUUUUAAUCCCCACCGUUCCUAAAGUCAACGAUUUCGGCAGAUGAUUACAUACUGCACAAGUCCAUUUCGUAUCAUGCCUUCCAUGGCCAAUCUUGAUUCACGUUGCAUGAUUGUAAACCUCUCUUAAAUUUUACAACCAAAUUUUAGGCGUACAUACAAGACUAUAGAUAUCCACAUGCACGAACCAAAUAUUCAUUAACAUAUAAUAUAUAAUCUUAUCGCAUUCUUUAAUAUAUAUAUGUGUAUAGUUCAAGUUUGCCAAUGUAUUUUAUGAAAUUACAUGCCAGCUUUUUGACGUGAUAAAUAUACUAUUAAAUAUAUAGCAAAGGCUUCUUGAUAGAAAACUACCACCAUAAUUAAUCAUCGUUUUUUAACCAGGGUUCUUAACUCAUGAUUUAACAUUUUUUUUUUACAUUUUUCGGCUAAUAGACGGUUCUUAUAUCUCUUAAGCUUUUUUUAGUUAAAAUCUAAGAAAAAUUAAGAACCAUCUCUUAUGCGAAACUAAUAACACCAGUUAAUAGAUCAGGUUAAUCAUAGUCCGGUCAAAGUUCCUCCAGUGUAUGAUAACAAUGUGAUUUGAUGAGGUUGAAAAUGUAAAUUUAAUAAUAAAAAGAAAAGUAUAAACGACAAUGAAUACGUCGUUUCUUGCGGACCUUAAUUCAUACAGCACAAAACAAUCUCACAAGCCCACGCAUGAGUCACAAACAACGAACAAUAGUGCGAUCAAAUAAAUGAAAAGUAUGUUAACAAAAUCGAAAAAAAUAGAAAAGUUGACAAAAAUAUAGUUGUUGCACUCAUACGUUUCAACUAUAUCUCAUAUCUGGUACCACAUUUUCCUUUUUUUUCUCCUAGUGCUUUAUUUCGAACAUAGCUUUUAUAAUUAUACAACUCGACCAAGACUUAUCAUAUGAUUUCAAAUCCACAUUCUGCCUUUAUUUCGUAGAUGACAAAACUUGUCUUGAUAAUGAGGAAAGUUUCUUUUUCAUGAAUGUUAUUAACCCACAUCCUUCUAGAAUUUUUUUUUCUUUUGCUAAAUCACAUCUUUCUAGAAUUGGACAUCGAAAUAUAUAAAAUUUAAAUUUAAAUAUGCAAAUAGUCAUUUUUCUAUUGUAAUGGUUAGAGUCUAAUGCUUAACAACUUAUGGAAACAUUUGUAGACCAUUAUUACACGUUUCAAAAUGAGAAAGGUAAGAAAAUGUCAUACAGUAAAAUAGACGUUAGAUCAUUCUAAUUGAACUGUAGCUAGAAAGUAGAAACUAAAGAGUUUAGAUGAUUAAAAUAAGAAAAGGAUGCAUAGUUUAUUUGCUGUUCAUGCAUAGAAACAAAUUUAAAACGCUCGAAGUUAACAACAGAACUAGCAAAAGCUUCUCCGACAAAGGCUUCGGUCCGGUUCCGUCCACGUGGAAAGGCGGGUGCGAGGCUGGGACUAACUUCACCGCCUCCCUCUGUAACCGGAAACUAAUCGGAGCUAGAUUCUUCGCUCGGGGAUACGAAGCCACGAUGGGACCAGUCGACGAAUCCAAAGAAUCAAGAUCUCCUAGGGACGACGACGGUCACGGAACGCACACGUCAUCAACGGCGGCUGGAUCCGUGGUGGAAGGAGCUAGCCUCCUAGGCUUCGCUAGCGGAACAGCUCGCGGGAUGGAUCCACGCGCUCGUGUGGCGGUUUACAAAGUUUGUUGGUUAGGCGGUUGUUUCAGUUCAGAUAUUCUAGCUGCGAUUGAUAAAGCUAUCGAGGAUAACGUUAACGUUUUGUCUAUGUCUCUCGGCGGUGGGAUGUCUGAUUAUUAUAGAGACGGUGUAGCUAUUGGAGCGUUCGCGGCUAUGGAGAGAGGUAUAUUCGUCUCGUGCUCUGCUGGUAACGCUGGUCCAAGCCCUUUCAGUUUAUCGAACGUAGCUCCAUGGAUCACCACGGUUGGUGCUGGUACGUUGGAUCGUGAUUUUCCGGCGAUUGCGAUUCUAGGCAACGGGAAGAAUUUCAGUGGAGUUUCUUUAUUUAAAGGAGUUGCUCUUCCGGAUAAGCUGUUACCGUUUAUUUACGCUGGGAAUGCUAGUAACGCUACUAACGGGAAUCUAUGUAUGACGGGGACUCUGAUUCCGGAGAAGGUGAAGGGGAAGAUUGUUAUGUGCGAUAGAGGAGUGAACGCUAGGGUUCAGAAAGGGGAUGUGGUGAAAGCUGCUGGUGGAGUAGGUAUGAUCCUGGCCAAUACGGCGGCUAACGGAGAGGAGCUUGUGGCGGAUGCUCAUAUGUUACCUGCGACUACAGUAGGAGAGAAAGCUGGUGAUAUUAUCAGGCGCUACGUCUUGACAGAUCCGAAUCCAACAGCUUCGGUUUUGAUCCAAGGUACCGUGGUUAACGUCCAGCCGUCUCCCGUGGUUGCGGCGUUCAGCUCGCGAGGGCCUAAUUCGAUUACUCCCAACAUUCUCAAACCUGAUUUGAUCGCGCCGGGAGUCAACAUCCUCGCCGCGUGGACCGGAGCCGCGGGACCUACUGGACUUCCUUCCGAUCCUCGCCGCGUGGAAUUCAACAUCAUCUCGGGGACGUCCAUGUCUUGCCCUCACGUCAGCGGUUUAGCGGCUCUUCUCAAGUCGGCGCAUCCGGAGUGGAGUCCCGCGGCGAUUAGAUCGGCGCUCAUGACCACCGCGUACAGAUCCUACAAAGACGGGAAACCGAUCCUCGACAUCGCUACGGGGAAGCCUUCGACGCCGUUUGAUCACGGUGCAGGAUACGUGUCGCCGACGAUCGCCACCAAUCCAGGACUUGUGUACGAUCUAACGACGGUGGAUUACUUAGGCUUCCUCUGCGCGUUGAACUACACGUCGUCGCAGAUCAGAAGCGUUUCGAGACGCAAUUUCACUUGCGAUCCCACCAAGACGUACUCCAUCGCUGAUCUUAACUACCCUUCCUUCGCCGUUAACGUUGACGGAUCAGGAGCUUACAAGUACACGCGCACUGUCACGAGCGUUGGAGGAGCUGGGUCCUACAAGGUUGAAGUCACUUCGGAGAGUACAGCAGUCAAGAUUUCGGUUGCACCGGCGGUUUUGAAUUUCAAAGAAGUUAACGAGAAGAAAUCGUAUACAGUGACGUUUACCGUGGACUCCUCUAAGGCGUCUGGAUCUAACAGCUUCGGGAGCAUUGAAUGGUCAGAUGGGAAACACGUGGUGGCCAGUCCCGUGGCGAUUAC